UCAAGAAAAUCUUUCAAAAUAUAAAAAAUUAAUUACAAACUUUUGUAAAAGACGGUCUUACAGAAAAGACCACCUUCUCGAUAUAUUGAACUUCUAAUUUUCGCGGGUCGAUUCAAACGGGUAUGGGUCAGCGGAUUUUUUAAAUUUUCGGGUCAUAUAACAACAUACUCCGUAUUUUUCAUUUCACAAUUCAUUUUCUCUCUCCUCAAAAUUUUCUGCCAUUCUCUCUCUCCUCUAAAUUGUCUGCCCUUCUCUCUCUCCUCCAAAAAUCGGGCACCUUCUCACCGCCGUCUUCGCACCUCCUCGCCGCCGUCUCCAUUUUCUCCGACCUCCUUUUACCGACAUCAAGGUUUGUGGAGCUGAAGAGGCUACGCAGGUCAAGGUGCGGCGACGAAUUUUGACCCCAGAAAGUUCCUCGCCGGUGUAAGUGGUGGUGUAACAGAUCGGAGGUCUGAGGAUGAUGUUCUGUCGUCAUUGGAUGAUGUUGAGAAUGUUGCCUCCUUGCCGCCGUCGCCAUCGGAGAUCGAAGAGAUGAAUAUAUGAUGGGCAGGAUAAUGUAGAGAAUGAAGAUCAUGCGUUUUGUCGAUAAUUUGGACGAUCUCAGUUUUUUUGUAGAUCGAACCGAGUUUGUGCUUUGGAUGCGAUGUUAGAGGAUGUUGAGCGGUCGAUGGUGGAGAUGGUAGUAGGCAGUAGAUGUUUGAGGAGAGAGAACUGGAGGAGCUGUUGCAAUUGCCAGUGACUGCAAUCGCGAAGUAACAUGCUUUGGUGGAUGCGAUGUUUCUUCAGUGUGGCCUGGUGGUCUUGCAGUGGCUUCGCUAUCCCUGCUGGUGGCUGCGACUCGAUGGAACAUCAGUUGGUGCAAGGGUUGCCUGAGCUUGUGGUUUGAUUGAUGAUGUUGGUGUUAUGUUUUGUUGUUGGAUUGAGAUUGCUAUUCAACAACAAACAAGAGUUCAAGAAUAAUUUGUAUUUUUUAAAAGUGUAAUUAUUAAUGGAUUUGUUAGUAAUGAUUAAAUUGCUUAUAGUUAAUAAUAUUUUCGUUCUAGUUAUAUUUCUGAUGUAUUUAGUAAUGAUUAAAUUGCUAAUAGUUAAUACUUGUAAUGUUUUUGUUUUAGUUAUAUUUCUGAUAUAUAUUUAGUUAUGAAAUUUUAGUUUUA